GAUGAACGCUGGCGGCGUGCUUAACACAUGCAAGUCGAACGGAAAGGCUCCUGCUUGCAGGGGUACUCGAGUGGCGAACGGGUGAGUAACACGUGGGUGAUCUGCCCUGCACUUCGGGAUAAGCCUGGGAAACUGGGUCUAAUACCGGAUAGGACCACAUUUUGGAUGGUGUGGUGGAAAGUUUUUCGGUGUGGGAUGAGCUCGCGGCCUAUCAGCUUGUUGGUGGGGUAAUGGCCUACCAAGGCGUCGACGGGUAGCCGGCCUGAGAGGGUGUACGGCCACAUUGGGACUGAGAUACGGCCCAGACUCCUACGGGAGGCAGCAGUGGGGAAUAUUGCACAAUGGGCGCAAGCCUGAUGCAGCGACGCCGCGUGGGGGAUGACGGCCUUCGGGUUGUAAACUCCUUCCGCUAGGGACGUAGCGCAAGUGACGGUACCUGGAGAAGAAGCACCGGCUAACUACGUG
rnacentral:rRNA from 1 species